rnacentral:lncRNA from 10 species
CCUCAGUUCUCCUCACCCGGCAUGGCCGCGCAUCACCUGGAGGGCUUGGCAAGGUCAACCUGCGGGCACAGUCGCAGCGCUUCCGAUCUGCUAGGUCGGGUAUGGGGCGCGAGUCGGUUUCCCCAGGAGGCCUAGGCGGCCUGUCUGGUCCCGCACUCUGGCGCCGGCUCCUCCCUCGCUGGCCAGGAGUGGCGGGCAGUUGCGGAGCCGGACGCUGGGGGAGUCAGGCUGCCGCGCGGCAAGUUAUCAGCUGGCGGAGGUUCCUGCGGAAGCUGGCGUCCAGGAAGGCGUAGAGGAAGGGGUUGAGGCAGCUGUUGGCGUAGCUCAGGCUGGUGAUGAAGUAGGAGAUAGCGAUGACCAGCGGCGUCUGCGGGAGGUCGGUGGUGAGCGCCACCACGGUGCUCAGGUGGUAGGGCGUCCAGCAGAGGAGGCACACCGCCAGGAUUGCCACCACCAGGAAGGUCACCCGCUUCUUGGCGCGCUCCAGGGCCUUGGCGUGGCUGUCCAGCCGCAUGGCAUGCAGCCGGCACAGCAGGGUGGUAUAGAGGACACAGAUGGUGGACACGGGGAUGGCGAAGCCCAGCACGAGCGUGUAGAGGCGGCUCGCGCGCCACCAGAAGGCCUCGGGCUGCGGAAAGACUAGCACGCACUGGCGCCGGCCCUGCUCGUCGUCUAGCCGGGCGAAGACUGCGAAGGGCAGCACGACGAGUGUGACGAUCCCCCACACGGCCAGGCUCACCGCGCGCGCGGCGCUGUAGGUGCGGCCGGCCACCCGGCGCGACUCCGCAGUGGCCAACACCACCAGGUAGCGGUCGGCGCUCAUGACGGUGAGGAAGUAGAGGCUGGAGAAGGUGUUGUACUGGUCGAUAGCCACGAUGAGCUUGCACAUGAGCUCCCCGAAGGGCCACUGCCGCAGCAGGAAGUCGGCGAUGUUGAUGGGCAGCACCAGCGUGAAGAGCUCGUCGGCGAUGGCCAGGUUGAGGAUGAACAGGUUGGUGACGGUCUUCAUGCGGGGCGCCCGCAGCAACACGUACAGCACGGCGGAGUUGCCCGCCAGACCCACGGCGCAGAUCACCGCGUAGACAACUGGUACAGCCACCGCCAGCGGCGCCGGCAGCGGCGCCAGAGUCGACGCGUUGGAGCAGCUCAGCGCCGGGUCCGGGCCCGAUGCGUUGGCGGGCCAGGGCUCCGAGAACGAGGCGUUGUCCAUCUCAACGAGGGCAGAGGAGCCGGCGACCUGGCGUCCCCCAAGGACGCCCUACGGAGCUCAGCGGUCCUGAAGCCCGGUUCUGCACGGACCUGCUCGCGGACGCUCGUUUCAGCUCUCCAAGCCGUUCUCUGGUUUUUCCGGAGGAGGGGACCGUUCCCAGCCACCCCACGGCCCAAUGUCGCCGCGGACUCACGGGGCUGGAAAGAGGAAUUUAAAGCAUAGGUUAGUUCGUCGACGUGUAACUUUAGAAAUAGGCGCGGUCCCGAGGAGGGGUGGGGGUGGCGCCGCGGCGCCCCAAACCUCCUCCACGUGAGCGCUCUCUGCUACCUGUUGAAAUCUCACUUCUACCAGUUGAAUACAUCAAACGAAAUGCUAGAGAGAGAAGAAUCCUCCAUAGGAAAAAUGCAAACCCUUCUCCCCUCUUUCAGGAAACUUCCGUAGACCCAGGUUACCCCACAGAAUCCCGCAGUGGCAAGCUUCGGUCUCCCCAGGGUCUGUGCGCCCUCAGUAACAGCAAGCUCAACAGCAGUCUUUACCUUACCUGGCUGGCUGGGGAAGGGGUCUGCCUUUCCUGGAGCUGUCAGGAGAAAAGCCCGCCGGCUGCGGGGAGGCUGAGACGCCUGCCGGCUGGGUGUCCGCCUCCCCCUGUCUGCCUCCCCCGAGUUCGCCAGAGUCCGCAGCUCGCGUCCCCGCCGGUCCCUCCCGCGCGCCUGGAAGUGCAGGGAUGGCGCAGCCGCGACUGCGUUCCACUGCCCUGACCGCCGCGCCCACCCCCACACCCCAAGUAAAAUGGUCUUAGAACAGAGAACAGAAAUUCCCCCAAAUUUAAGGGAUUCCUUUCUUCCAUCCCAGUCGUGCAACCUCACUCCAUCUGAAAUAAUAGAAAGCUCUCCUGUUAAGAAUCGAAUUUAAGGAAAACAAAGUUAGGGUGUAAGUGAUCUAUUUUUAAAGGAGAACAAUGUAGUGGAGGCGCCUGUUCCAUUUUUUAUACACCGUAACACAAAUAGGCUAAUGUAAUGUGAAAUCUGAAAGGAGGAAAAAGUGAGUGCAAUUUUAUAAUGCAAAUCACCUGUUUUCUGCUACUCUGGUCUUCAAGGGGAUAGAAGAUUGUUAGUAUGUUUUCUAAAACUACUUCUACUUCUACUUUUGUGUAAGUAAAGACUUGAUUAGUAAAGACAAACGGCUUCCGCAAAGCCUUUUAGGGAACCAUGACAAUGCGUAUUUCAUAAAACGUUACAAGUUGUUCAACACACUCUCUACUUAUCCACACACUUGCCCGAUUCUCCUGCUAAUGAGAGCUAUCCUGCGAUCGCAGCGGAGAGUAGCCAAGGAAGGACUAGCAGGGGCAGUCUUGAACUCCCCUGUCGCUAUUUCCCUGGACUUUGGAUUCUUUCUCUAGGAAGGGAAAAUCAUCUUAGGCUCCUCACCAGUUCCCCUAAGAAUCGAAUGAAAUAAACUAAAUAUUGGUUAUUUCCAA